rnacentral:rRNA from 1 species
UACGUAGGGGGCGAGCGUUGUCCGAAGUUACUGGGCGUAAAGCGCGCGUAGGCGGGCGAUUAAGUCAGGGGUGAAAUCCCAAGGCUCAACCUUGGAACUGCCUUUGAUACUGGUUGUCUUGAGUCCGGGAGAGGUGAGUGGAACUGCGAGUGUAGAGGUGAAAUUCGUAGAUAUUCGCAAGAACACCAGUGGCGAAGGCGGCUCACUGGCCCGGAACUGACGCUGAGGCGCGAAAGCGUGGGGAGCAAACAGG